AGAUGGUUAGGGUAUUAGAAGCCUUGAUGGCCUCCUGCAAGCCCCUGACCCUGAGUGGGUUUAGAGUCAGAGCCUCAGCCUUCCAGUCCACUUAGCUCUAGCUACUGAGUGUGCUUGGUGACAGCCUGCUGCUUCUCCUUGACCUGUUCCUCGGGGCGAUCAGUAGAGGAAACAAACCAGAGGAAGUGGGUUUACACCAAGGCACCUAAGCUUCUGCCACAGGUACCUAUUAGCGUACACACAGCAUCUGUGCGCACACAAACCCCUCCCCAGUCACCAGUGUGCUGUCCCCUUCACUCACGCAUACACACACACACACACACACACACACACAGAGCAGCUGCACUGGGGUGAAGAUGAAGAUAUUUAUCCCUUUUAGGUUGAAGGAGGUACUAGGCCCCAUCUCAGAGUCAACCCAGCUAUGCCUACUGAACUCUGGCCUGGCCCUCAGGUAAGUGGGUGAGCACUCGUUCUGCUGAGGACUGAUGUCAGGCUGAGCCUAGACUUGGCCCUUCUGGCUGCCUUGGGCCCUUGAUUUUUGGAUGCACAGCUCUUCCUCAGGCCUGAGAGAUAUCACCGUCUGUGCCUGUCACAUCUAUAGCAAGGUAGAGCCCGGUGGGAAGGGAGGCAGAUUCUAUAGUACAUGUUGGGUGCUCCGUCCUGAUCUGGCGCUAGCCAAGCAAAGACACAGGUUUCAGUACCAGACUGAAGGGAUUGUUGGAGAGACCUGAACAGCCAGACCAACCGUGUUCGCUCCUAGCCCAGCCCUAGUCAGCUCAGAGGCUGCCUUUCUGGCCGGGAGGUAUACAGGGCCUAAGAUCACCACACCAGAGCGUCCCCAUUGUGUCCCAGUUCUCAGAGCCCUGUGGCCAGGCUAAGCAUGCAAGAUCCAGCUGCUACCAUCCCUGACCACACAAGCGGAGCCUUGUGCAAGAACUAAGGACAGAACAUGAGACCAGUCUCCACCUACCUGUUAUAUGUUAUAUUUCACUGAAACAGGUGGCUCACAUGUAAAACAAAAUUUUAAAGAAAUACUUUUAUGUUAUUUAGAUCUGUAAUCACAAUAUCCCUGCUGGCACCUCAGGUCACCUGCCACCAGCACCGUCCUCUCAGAACACCAGCCCUUUUUGUCCCACCUGGGAUGGAGGGGUGCAGCUGGGAGGUAACCCUAUGGUGUCUUCAAUGACACUGUUACCCGGUGUAGCUCAGGUGUCCUGUAAGAGGCCAGGCUAGGCUCCUUCCAGAAUGUGAGCCUCUGGGACUUGCCUCAAAGAUGUCUAAGCAAGCCGGAUCUAUAGAUGUUCAGUGUUCUGCACUCAACCGUGAGCCCAGGGGAAGGGCUUCCCAUGACAAACCCCUCAUACUCCUUGGGGGCAGGCAGGACCACUUGCUGGUCGGGGGACUGAAGCUGUGUCCACCAUGGCUUGGCCUUUGAGCAGUCGGUCCAGCUACACAUCCGUCUCCACCCGCAGCCGCUCCAUCCUGCGCACGUUGCCUUCCACGGCCACACGGCUGGUGAUGGAGUGAGCAAAGCUCUCGGGAAACCAGCCGGUCUCUCCGUCCCGAAGCCGCUCCCCGUGUAGCCAACCUGAAUGCAGACAGCAGAUGAGAGGGAGCCCUCUCGUCUCCUCCUUUGCUCUGGAGGGUUCUAGGGCAUGGGUGACUGUUGGAACUGACUGCCCCUCCUGACUCAAGAGAGCCAAGGGGGCCUUGCCCAAGGCCACACGUGGAUACCCACGUGCUUCACUUAGGGCCCAGAGUGAUGAACUCAUUUCGAUCCCGUGAUUCCAGUAUUCUCCCUUUGGAGGUACUGAGUGUGGUGUGUAUGUGUGGAGUAUACAUGUGGAUUCACAUACAUGUGCACCCAUAGUCGUCAUGACAGUUCCUCAGGUGCUGUCCACUCUGUCUCUCGUCACCUUGGAGCUUGCUAAUGAAGCUAGGCUGGCUGAUCAAGGGGCCCUUAAAAUUUGCAUGUCUUUGCUUCUCUGGCAAUGAGAUGCCACAAGCCAUGUGCCACCAUACCCCAAUCAGGUCCUUAUGCCAACCGAGCCAGCUCCCCAGUUCCCGCCUCUGAGGAAGUUCUUAGGGGGGCACGAGGCAGGCCGAGUGUGUGCUGGUUGCCACAGCCCAGUACACUCUGCAGCUGUGUCUGGUUGACACCCACUCAGGGGUGGCCCCACCCACACUCACCGUCCUCUUCCUGCAGGACCAGGACGAUGUCAGCCUGUUGCAGUGUGAUCUCAUCAGCCUGCUUGGCAAAGUACGCCUUGGUGACCUCUACCUGGGGGAGUUCUGGGGGGAAAUGGAAAGACAGCUAAGCCAGGAGUGCUCUGUUGCCCUUGGGGAGGGGCAGUAGUACUCUGCCCGCGGUAGUCCUCCCUCCUGCAGUACUCCUCCCACAGACACAUGGCACCAGCUGUCUCAGCACAAGAUAGACAGCUUCCCUUGGAUAAAGACUGGCCUUCCAGGGAUACAAGGCUAGACAUCUGGCACCCACAGAUCUACUUUUCCCCCUUAAGAGCCAUCCAGGGCCAGAGGUGACAUUUUGAUGGUCCAGCCCUAUUCUAUUCCUUGGACCUCAGGCUUCCUAAGAAGGACAAAUAAGGUUAACCUAGUCACAGUGUGUACAGCAGGCCAAGGUCCAGCUGCCGAGUGAGGCACCCUGGCGAUGCUGCGGUGUGGCCUGGGUUCCAACCAGCUCAACCCCAGGACUGUAACCCACACUCACCUCCUUUGUUGGUGAUGCCCUGCCACUGUCUCUCCUUGUAGGUGAGUGCUGUGAUCCACCGGGCCCGGUCACUCCUGGAGGGAGGCCACAGAGCAUGUAGUUGAGGCCCCUCCUUCCUUCUUGGGGUCCGAGAGUACCGGAAACUGUUCUAUGAUCACUGACUAUUCUGACCUCACCUACUGUCCUGAGGUUUGCUGUGCUGGCAUCAAUGUUGGUGCCUGAUGGCAAGAUGCUCCUGCCUCGGGGCCUUUGCAUGGCCAUGCUCUGGUUGAGCACUGCUCCCCUCUCUGUGUUUGCCGCUUCGUUCCCUCCCUCCCUUGGAGUUUUGACCCAUGCACUACCUUGACAACAACAGCAUGCCC
rnacentral:lncRNA from 1 species